GCUGGCGGGGCCGGGGAGCGCCGCCGUCCUCCUCGGGAGGAAACCGUACGGGCGACCGAUGAGAAGCGGGGACCGCCAGCCCGCCCUCCCUCCCAUCCCAUCCUGGUGCCGGGAUAACGGGCAGAGGGGCUUCCCAAGUGGGGUGUACGGAGCGCGGAUGUGAAUUUAUUCGGGGCUGCUAAUGAAAUUAAUUAGCGCAUCUACGGCGCGGCGGGGAGCGCCGGACCUCCGGGGAAUGGAGCGGCGAUGGGGACCGGGGUGGAAGGGGCGGCCCCCGUCGCAGGUGACCGGCUCGCUUUUCACACUGCUGCUUUUUGGUGGGGUUUUUAGGAGAUCCCUUUGCUUCCAGUCCUUAUUACCCAACCCUGAAUCCCGAAUCCCGAGCCGGCUCCAGCACAACUGUAGAUGCUGCAGGUCGGGAGGCAAACCGGCAGGCUGGGUUUGGCUAAAAGUCCCUUCCCUGCGUGCUUGGGUUGGACUAGAUGAUCUUUCGAGGUCCCGUCCAAUCCCUAACAUUCUGUGAUACCCUGUCCUUCCCUUCCAGGACAGCGAGCGCUGGCUUGUGUGGAGGGCAUCAAUGCUACCUUGAGCAUCCCCAAAAAACCUGCAAGUGUUACACAAGGCAGUGCUACCAGGCAGACUCCGUGGUGACCCGCGGGAUGUGCUCUGCACGGGGGGAAAUAACAUGCAUUGAGGAGAAAGAGAUUAAAUUGCUAAGGCAUCUGUGUACCUUAGAUGUUGCUUAGAUAUCAUGGGAGGAACUUCCAGUCUGCCCCAUCAUUAUGAUUAAAACAUUAGUUAUUAGUGGCUUCAUGUGUAAUAACAAACAAAAAAAAGGAGAGGAAAACAGUUUUCCUUUUAAUACAGAAGCGAUGUUUCAGAGCUGCAGUUUGCAAGCUGUCAGCAGCUGUAUAUUGGCUUGUAGAAAUGCCCUGAGUGCCUGUGAUGCGCAGUGCUUAGUGGAUGCUAUGUUUGAUUUUCAUCCCACCUGCACAUGAGACAUUUCCUGGUGGGUCCCAGGUGUGGGAAGAGCACGGCCAGGCCAGCAGCACUGCACUGCACCCCUGUGGCAGGCUGAGGGCUGGUGCUCUGGCGGUCCCUCUCCCUCAAUUUGCUCUUUUUAUCUUAAAGACGAAUGACAUUAAACAAUUUCAACUGAGGCCUAAUGAUGACUCCUCUUGCCAGACUCCUUAUGGAGUUUGAACCACUGCUUUAUUCGUGUGGGAGAGCUUGUAAAUAUAUAACUGCUGAGGAAAUGCAUUCGGUGAGAGCUUGGCACACAGGAAGCACAUGGCCAGUCUGUCUCUGACCGCAGUGGGGUAAGAAUUACUGUUGGUGAUGAUGCUGAUCAAGUGCAGCCAGCAGCAGAGGUUAUAUUUCCUCCCCAGUGCAGGCCAGUGUUAUUGCUUGCAGAGUGGAUGCAUUCCAGGUGGAUACUGGUGAUCCUGGGAACAGACCUGCCAACAUUUCCCCUUUGGUAUGGAUGGUGUUGGUGGGACCUUGAUGACCUAGCAUAAUUCUGUGUUGCCAGUCACUGCAACUACCUAAUACUCUGGUUUUCUGUCUGAAUUUGGUUUGGAUACCUGAAUCUUCUUGUUUAGGUACACAGGAUAAAGCAAAAAACGCAUUUUUUUACUUCCUAGUAGGUAAUCUUCUUCAAUAGGAUCUCUACCAUAGCAGCCCCGCUCGGGUGGCCAUGGCUAUGCUGCAGGGACCUGUAUUGGUCUGCCCAGCACUAAAACAAGAUGAUGUUGCCAAGGCAAGCCUGGGAAAACUGCUUGAAUGAGGCGAGGUGCAAAAGAGGACAGGCAAAGGCAAUGGACAAAUGCAGGAGCCAGGAGAGUCUCCCCAUACCUUGUCCAGAUGGCUUAAGAUGGGGUAGGGAUCUUGCAGGGACCUCCUGGGUCACACACUGCACUCCCGUGCUGUUGUAGUUGUAUCAAUAUGUCCCAUAUGUUUAUCAGGCUUCAUGUUGGCUUGUUCUGUGGGUUCUGCAGAAACCUGUCCUAGACCUUUUUGCUCUGGAAGUCAGAAAUCUUUUAAUCCCCAGCCUGAAUAUAUGACUGAGUUCUUUACAGCUCCACAAUUAUUGGCUUGGAGCUUUCACAAGGUUUUCUUAUGUUUUCUCCACUCCCACAGGUCUCUCAGUAGCAUCUAUAGCCCCUUCAGCCCCUGUUCUGGUAGUCUAAACAAGACCACCUUCUGGUAGUUUCCUCUCACAAGAUAAAUCCCCCUUUCUUUGAUAGCUGUAGUCAUCCUGUAUCGCACCAGUUUCAGUUCCUCUGAAAAACAGAGGAGGUGGUUUUCAGAGUUAUUGCUGAGAUUUCAAGCUUAAAAUCAAUGGACCUUUUGAUUCAAAAUCCAAUUUGGAGUGCUUUUAAGAACAUCUCUGAUCAUUCAAUUGAACAUCUCAAAGUUUGGACCCCAAGCCUUGUUAUUCAACUACAAAACUACAACUCCGCUGACUCUGAGAACUUGCAUGAACAUUUAUAAUCGCAUGAGGGAAUCUAAGAGCCACUCAAACAAUAGAUAAGAUUAGUAACAAAAGUGGCUGGGAUGUGAUUGUUAUUGUGCAAGUCAAAGAAAGGGCUGUCACCCACAGAGGAUGUUGCCAAGAAAGAUGCGUUUGAGUUAUGGAGCCAUUCUCCCAUCUGCUGUCCGAAUUCUCCUGCAGUCUUCCCGGAUCUAUUCAGGCUUAGCUGGGUGAUUCACUGAAUUAAGAACCAGCUGAGUGUAGACUUGCUGUUGGACACAGUUUUUUGCCAGGAUGUGUCAGAUCUUUGCCUUGGUCCAGUCCUUGUUCAGUGCUCCCACCAUGGAAAAGGGAGCUUAUUCUGGUUCAGAGUAUUUCCUUAGCUAUGAUGGGACUUGGAGCAACAAAGCAAUCAAAGCAAGCUUGCCUUUACAAUCUCUUGGAGCCAGAGCAAUCAGAAAACAGUUACAGCCGUGUGGCGAUGUCUGAAGUUGUGCAAAGGCUCGGAACAACCCCUGGACUGGAGUGUGUAACAGAACGGUGAAAGCUCCCUUUGCUUUCCAUUUGGGUAGAGCGUGCCUUUGGAGAGAGGAGUUCAGCAUGGCUUGUGCGCUGUCUGCAAGGCACUGGUUGCCCCGUGAACAAGCCCCCAUCGUGUGCAGCGAACAAGAAACUAGCACAACACAUAUGUAAGUCAUUUACAAAGAUGGGAAUGAUGAACUGUGCAAACAAUAGAGUCGCUAUUAGGUCUGUCAAUCCUAAUUAAAAAAAUACUUCUCAAUGAAAAUUAUUUAUAAAAAGAAAUCACAGUGACCCUAAAUCAAAUUAUUUGUGAAUGGUUUUUAGUCUCCCAGAUCAGUUAGAACUCCUGUGUUAGUCCCUGGACAUCAUCCAACCUACAUGCUGAAUGAAUAACAUGUCUGCCAAAUUUCAUUUUUUUUCACCCUCACCCAGUUUGGCACAGGACAGUUAAAGUCAUUUUUCUAAAUAUCUUUCAGAACAUCAAGCAACUGUAAAAUAACAAUGGAAAAGCUUGGCCACAUUUAACUACAGCCCUCCAGUUGUAACCGCUUCUCUCAAAAAAAGUGGCUCUGGUUCCUUUGAUAAUCUGUUUUGGGUGAGCACCGAGGCAGGGCUUCCCCACAGGGUACUGGAGGGUCACUUCCCGAGGGGUCACCCUGCCACGGAACAUGGUUUCCAGGUGCUCAGGAGUGGGGCACAGCUGCAUCCAGGCUGUGCCUGCGUACAGGGUUUGUGUCAUCCUGACCACCUGCUAGAGACUGACAUCCCGAGGACAUACCAGCCAUUCCUUGUCCACAACUUCCCAUGGUGAGAUGUAAAGAUGCCCCUUUUUGUUGCUCAUUAAAAAAAAAAAAAAGUGGAAAACGGAAAGGAAUUGGUGACUGCACAAUGGCAGAAUGAGUUGUUGCUUCUUGUAUCUGCAAAGAUAAACUGCUAAUGUGGAAAAUAAGGAGGUGAGUGGUGACAGCCAACAUGGCUUCUCUAAGGGCAAAUGGUGCUUGACAAAUUCAGUGGCCCUCUGUGAUGGAGUUACAGCAUUGGUGGAGAAAGGAAAAGCAGCUGAUGUUACCUACCUGGACUUGUGCAAAGCAUAGAACACUGUCCCACAUGACAUCCUUUUCUCUAAAUUAGAGAGACAUGGGUUCAACAGAUGGACCACUCAGUGGACAGGGAAUUGGCUGGACAGUUGCACUUGAAGAGUUACAGUCAAUGGCUGAAUGUCCAAGUGGAGACCAGUGACAAGUGGCAUUCACGGGGAUUGGUGUUGGGACGGGCGCAGUUUAACAUCUUUGUUGGCAACAUGGACAGGGGGAUUGAGUGCACCCUCAGCAAGCUUGCCGACAACACCAAGCUGUGUGGUGCGGUCAAUCUGCUGGAGGGCAGGGAUGCCAUCAAGAGGGACCUGGACAGGCGUGAGAGGUGGGUCUGUGCGAAUUUUAUCAGGUUCAACAAGGCCAAGUGCAAGGUCCUGCACAUGGGUUGGGACAAUCCCCAGCACAAAUACAGGCUGGGCAGAGAAUGGAUUGAGAACAACCCCAAGGGAAAGGACUUCGGGGUGUUGGUGAGAAGCUCAACAUGACCCAGCAAUGUGUACUUGCAGCCCAGAAAGCCAACUGUAUCCUGGGCUGCAUCAAAUGAGGCAUGACCAGCAGGUCAAGGAAGGGGAUUCUCCCCCUCUGCUUUGCUCUCUUGAGACCCCACCUGGAGUACUGCAUCCAGCUCUGGGGCCCUCAAUGCAAGAGGGACACAGACUUGUUGGAGCAAGUCCAGAAGAGGCCAUGAAGAUGAUCAGAGGGCUGGAGCACCUGUCCUAUGAAGACAGGCUGCGAGAGUUGAGAUUGUUCAGCCUGGAGAAGAGAAGGCUCCAGGGAGACCGUAAAGCAGCUUUCCAGCACCUAAAGGGGGCCUACGAGGGCAUGUAGUGAUAGGACAAGGGUAAUGGCUUUAAACUGAAAGAGAGUAGAUUUAGAUUAGAUAUAAGGCAGAAAUUCUUCCUGGUGAGGCUCCCGGUAGGGAGCUGGGGAGCCGCAUGUUGGUUCUGGCUGGAGGAGAUCAGUCACAGGGCACGCUGGGGCCCUUUGGACAAGUGCAAUGCUGGCAACCUGGGCUCAGAGUGGGGUCGAGAAGCUUGGGGAUGGUGCUGGCGGGAGGGACCUCUGUCUUCUGUGCUGCCCCAAAUCCUGCUGCUGGGGGGAGCAGGAAUCACCUAGAGCUAAUGAGAAAUGCAUCCAGCACAGCAAGAAGUCCUUCUUCUUCCCCACCAGGGACCAUUAGGGUGGCUUCAACCUCUCACAGUGUGUCUAGAUAGAGGAGCAGGUUUGUUUUAUGGUUUUUGCUACUGGAAUAUUUUGGCAACCAGCCCUGUUGUGCUUGAGACAAAGUGCUGUGCAAGUGUGCAGCAAACAUGAACAUCCAUUAAUUGUUUUACAGCUGCUCGGCAAAUACCAUGUGGUACAGGUGGGAAGAUGCAGUGCUGUGAUCCCACAAGGUCUGGAUGGAGCAGGUAAGAGUCUGCCCUGUGUGAAACACAUGGUUUGUGUUAGAGAGGAGAAGGGUUUACAAAACAGGUGCAUUUGCAAACCGGCUUUGCCAGGGUGAGGUGGGAGAGAGGGUUAUUUCUCUGUCUCAGCAAGGGUGGCCCAACAACAAAUGGCUUAAUAAAAUAGCUGCUUUUAUAAGAUAGAAUAAAAAGAAGGAUAUGUAAUAACUUGAAGGACUGAAAAGGUGGAACUUCUCUCCAGGACAGGAUAACUGCAGCAGCAUGGCAGAAUCCAUCCUGGGUCCAUCCAGUGCUGUUUGAAUGCAGGGUGCCUUGCAUCUGAAGGGGCAUAAGAUUUGCUUGCUCUUGGUAUUCGUCCUUUUACUCUGCCUUAUUAAAACAGCUGUUUGAUCAAGUCAGUUGCGGUUGGGCCUUUCUCACUGAGACCAGAGAGAGACCACCUUCCCCCAGCCCAGACCUGCCUUGGGAGGGAGACGACCCCUCACAACCUCCUUCUGCAGCCUCUGGCUUUUCCCUGGCACUGCCAAGCUCAGGUGGCCUCAAACUCAUGACAUAUGUAAUAAACUCACAGCUUUAAACUCUUGGUAUCCACCCUUUUGUUGGUUAAAAUGUUCAUGGAAGUCACAGGAAAAGUGAUACUCUUAUAAUUAAGGAGUGUGGUAGUGCUGUACAUAGCUUGGGAUGAGGGUGGAGGAGAAAGGCAGCAAUGACAAAAUAAGAUUGCUGUCGUUAAAACUUACGUAGCUUUAAAAAAUACUGAGUAAGAUUAAAAAAAUAAUUAUAAUAAUCGUGUGUUUGACAGAAUUCAAUGUGAUAAAGUCAUCCCAGUGUUGGCAGUGACUGGUCUCUCAUGAAUACUGAGCAUCGUUGUUUUCUCACAAAUGCUGAUGCUGUUGGAGAAGCAGCACGUCUGUGGCGGGACUGCAGUCGUGGUGGGUGACUUGGUGCUCAAGGUGUGGAAAUGCACCUGAUUUAACAGAUUUAUAGCCCCUUCUGCGUCCCUAGCCCGCUCCUCGUGUGAGGCGGGAGCGGGAUGGGAGCCCUGGGAUGUUUCUGGCCAGUGGCUGCUCGCACCAUGACUGUUGCCAGCACUAGGUCAGGGUGACCACUGCCUCGUUGGGCCCUAACAAUGGAGGAGCCCUGCCUCUGUCCUAGGGAUACGCUGCCCUCUGGGAAAGGAAAGUCAUCUGGAUGAUCUUAGCAUCCCAAACGGCACUACAGGCCCCUUGUGACAUGCCACACCAAGGAGACUUUGUCUCUGUUGCCUCUGUACCUGCCAUCCAGGUAGUUUUUGGCCACCAUUAAUUCAGUAGUGGUGGUAUCUGUACCCCACCACUCCUGUAGUGAACAGAGAUUCCCACUGAAGCCUCUACCCCGGCCUUCCCAGAACACGAGUUUUGGAUAAGGAAAUACAAAUUGUUGUCCCUGACUUUGCAGGGUUAAUCUGAGUGCAGACCCAUGUGGUGCUGCUGCCUGUGUCCUCAGCUCCAGGCAGGACAUGCACGGCAAAGGACUGAGGAGGGAGCUUCAGACCGGGAAAGUGUGGCCAUCUCUCCACGGAUACAGUGGGGAAGGUCAUGAAGUGCCUUUGCAGGGAGGAUCUGGUGUGUGCACGUGGGUACCCACGGAUCACACAAGUGAGAUGCAGCAGAUGAGCUGCCUUGCUCUAUUUGUAACCUCCCACUGCUGUUGAACAGACUUCACAAGGAGGAGAGAGAACUGAAAAUGGAGCUGAAAACUGACACUUGAGGCUCAGAUACUUGGAGGGACCCAUUGAAUCACGGAAUAGUUUGAGUUGGAAGGACCUUCCCAGCUCCCCCAGUGCCCCCCCUGCCAUGAGCAGGGACAUCUUCACCAGCUCAGGUUGCUCAGAGCCCCGUCCAGCCUGGCCUGGGAUGUCUCCAGGGAUGGUUCAUCCACCACCUCUCUGGGUAACCUGUUCCAGUAUUUUACCACCCUCAUUGUAAAAAAAUUCUCCCCCAUGUCUAGUCUGAACCUCUCCUCUUUCAGUUUAAAACUAUCACCCCUUGUAAUGUCAUAACAUGCUGUCCUGGUUUAACCUGAGCUGGCAAUGCAACCACAAUAGCCCCUUACUCACCCACUCCUCCCCUACCCUUCAUCCCCCCAAUAGGGGACAGAAUUGAAAGGGGAGAGAGAAACUUGGAUUGAGAUAAACACAGUUUAAUGAAAAAUACAGAAUACUAAUACACUACUAGUAAAUAUAUAUCUAAAACAGAAAUAAAAGAUACUCAAGGCGAUUCCUCAUGAACUCUAUCCACACUGAGCAGCCAGUCCCAGGAAGCAGCACCUGGUCCUGAACAGCCAACCCCGAAGAGAGAAAAGAGGAAAAAAGGAGAAAGGCUCAGAGGCCUCUGCAAAAUGGCAAAAGACUGAACUAAACGUGCUGAACCGAACUCCCCCGGCUCUGACAAAAAAGAGCAAAAAACCACAGCCAAGGCUGUGGCAGCAUUUUGUUGGUGCCAGGAGUCUGGUGUGUCCUGGUGAAGGGCUGGCUUCUGCCCUGCAUGGCAGGACUUACCCACAUCGGAUCUGCAGGAACGUGUCUUCAGUGUGGAGGAGGAUGAGGAUCUGCAACCUGUGGAAGAUGCUGAAGAUGCGCAACCUGCCCGCUUGUGCUGUUGGGGGUCAGUGUCUUUCCUCACAGAAAAGCUGCAGGGACGCUGGGGCACUGCCCUUUGUGACAUCUGUCACCAGGCAGGGCACUUUGCACCAGGAGCUCCCUUGGCAUAGGGAUGGACCUGAGAAGCACUUUGUUUUGCAGGAAUCCUUGGGAAACUGAAGGAGCAAAAUUAAAUCAGGUGAAUGAAAAAACAGCUCUGAGGGGCAAAAACCUCUGACAGUGCUGCUGAGCUCUUGGGGUCCUCCAGGCAGAGUGGAGUCUGGGCUGAGCUCAGAUGCUCCAUCUCUCUUUCAUGGUGGCAUAUAUGAUGGGUUUUGCACGAGGGAGGUAGGGGAGAGAUAGGCUUUGGAUAAAUUAAAGCAGCUGGGGGAUGAAACAGUUGUUUUCUGAAAUAAUGGUUCUUCAUGAGGCAUCUUGGCUUGUGCCUGAAUGCAGAAUGAACUGAUUUUAGUGGUUGAAAAAGGGAAAAUAUGGAAAAUGAAGAAAUAAAAUCACAGAAAGGAAGGAGUAGGGAUGGCUAAGAAGCACUAACAUUCAGGAGCAGUUGCAUUGAGAUGGUGCGGUGCAGAAAGUUCUGUCUUCUGGUUGAUGACAAACACAAAGACUUCACUGAAAGGUGCAGUGGAUUUUACAGGAGAAGAAGAUGGGAAGUAAAUUUGCCACAGUUUUGACCAUCGUUGAACAGGGUGAAAAUUUGAAAAUACAUGUCAAGCCUUGAGACUAAGCAAGGACUGAUAUCAGCUAACACCCAUGGUGGCAAAGCUGGGAAAAACUCUUUCUUAGAUAAAAUGAGUAGCAGAAGAGAUUCCAAAGAUGUGAUAUUUGGUGAUGCAGACCCAGUGAAAUGGGGAUAUGGUCUCUAUGCUUAAGAAUAGACAUGGGAGCUGUAGAAGAGAUUUAAAUAGUACAAUUUGGCAAACUGGCUUUGGAACCCAGAGGUUUUUAUCCAUCUCCGAGUGCAGAUAAAACCAAUGCAAGUUCCUAAUGUACAAGGCACAACCCUUGAGCCCCAGCACACUUGUUCUUCUGAGCUCUUUCUAGAAAGCUUUGAAAAGAGCAUUGUGGGCAGGAGGUCGCAUGGUGAUGCAUGAUACAACCCAGAUGCAAAGAAAGACCCUGUACACAUCAUCUAAGCCACCAGGCAAUGCAAAGCCUGGGGGGAGGUGUUAGAAAAGGAUGCUCUUGGUAUCACUAGUCCAUGGGCAUGCUAGAAUUAAGCCAUCACUUUAACCAUGCACUUUUCUAUCAGCAAAACCAUACCAUGUCCUGCCUGGCUUUGCUGCUCUCAGUGGAUAGUGGUCACCCUUGCCCCUGUACGCUUUGGGCCACCACCCUGAGCAUCCCUGGCAUUCCUCUGGGAGAAAAGCCUUCCAGCCCUGCAGGAUGAAUUAGGACCAUCUCCCUCCAGCUGGCCCUUUGGGACCUGUAGUGAACUCAAGUGUGACUCACAGGUAAGGAUCAGCCAUUGGACACCAGCACAUUGAAGGAGUCCUUUGGCCCUUUGCUGGUCUUCACUCUAAUAAACAGAACCUCUGCUAGGGCCCACAAAACCCACUGUAUGAGCAGGGUGCAGUGGGCAGGCUGGGGGAGGGAGCUCUCCCCUCUGUGUGGCAUUUGUAAGUCCCAGCUGGAGUUUGGGACUUUCCAGCACUGGAAAGACAUUGGCAGACUGGAGUGAGUGCAGUGGAGAUCAGGGGUUGGAGAUCAGGAGGCACAAGGAGAGUCUCAGUAAGCCAGCUCUUUUCAGUUGGGGAAAGAGGAGAUCUCAGAGAGGGAGUAGAGCGGCAAAGCCUCCCAGAUGCAGGGGGGAUGAGAGGCAACAGGCAAAAGCUGGAAUGCAGGGAAUUUCCAUUAGUGAUAAGGAACCACUUUUUCCACCAUGAAGGUGGGCAAAACUGGAACAGGUUCGCUAGGGAGGUUCAAGCCUGAGCUGGCAUGACUUGGAGUGACCUAUCCCAGUUGGCCCUGCUAUGAGCCGGGGGACCAGAGACCUCCCGAGGCCCCUGCCAGCCUCAGUUAUCCUGUUAUUCCAUGAAUGAGUGUCAGGUGUCCUGGACUCCAAAAUACCCCAGAGACAAAGAAAAACCUCCCUUUUCAAAGUCGCCCCAGAGGUCUCACAGGUAUAUUGUGCUGAAGUUCUCCCAGCAGUUGAACCACUGUGGUGCCACUGGGAUUUCAACUUGUAAACAGCGAGAAGACAAGGAUUAGCUACUCAGAUGCCUGGGCAUUAAACCAUCUUUUCUGGUGAGGGGCAGGGUAGAGCAGGAGAGCUUCAGAUCAAUUUAUGCUAUAGGAUAUCUCCUUCCUUCUCAGAAAGAACCUGUAUUUCUGUCUGAGCAAAAUGUUAGGGAAAGGGGAAUUUCCACAGAGAUUCGUGUCAAAAGCAGAGAGAAGUCAAGUGGCUUCCCUACUCUUUCAAGAAGCUUCCUGAAUCCAAACACUGUCCUCCCCUCUGCUAUGGGAAACAUUUCUGGUCCCUUCUGCCUCUCUUUCUUUGCAGUUUUGCACAGUUACCGAACAGGGGAAAAGAGAAAGCUUUCAGAAACACCUGAAAACAGAAAGCCACAGAGAAUCCCAGUUAGCAAGAGAAAAUGCACGCAAGAGAUGUUCCCCAAGCCCUGCUGCUAACGUGCUGCGCAGCUCCCGAUGCAUCGCGGUCCUGCAAUGGCAGAGCUGCUCAGAGAGCUGUUAGCCUCUCUGGAGUGGGGCAGAGCAGCUGUCCCGGGCUGGCAGCAUGGACCCACAGCCGCUCCAUGGCUAUAGAGCUCUGUCUGUGUCUGCAUCACCAUGUGCCAGCGGAGGAACCGUGAUGGCUCCUGCCCCGGCCAGCAGAGCCAGGGCAACGGGAGGAAAGGCUGCGCUCUGUGCUUGUGUCUGGGAACAGCAGCCCUGCUCCAUUCCCAUUUAUCCUGAUGAUUCUGGCUACACCACACCAGAUGGAGAGCAAACCUCAAUCCUGCCAUCUCUGCUCCUCUCACUGAUGUGCUCAAAGAUCUGGCUUUUGUCAUCUUUUGGGUUGUGCUGAGGGAUUCCCUUGAGGUUGUAGAACCGCUGGGGUGGGGGCCGUGUCUCCAUUUCAGUGCAGGCAGGUCUGUGCAUCCCUAUGUCCUGACCCUGUGCCUCAGACAAGGCCGAGCCCAGCCCUCCUGCCUCCAGGUCACCUCCAUCGUGAUGGGACCAUGGCUGCUCCCCUUCAAUGCAGAAUUUAGUGCAACAACAAAUAUGAAAUCCUCCACUGCUAAUUUAGUAUCUCAGAUCCCUUCCACACUGUAACAUCUGGGCAGUGAGGUUUUGGGAGUACAGAUGCUUCGGGAUCAGCUUUGAAAAUAAAUCCAAAUAAGCCACUUUUUGGAGAUUAAACUGACUCCUCCUGGAGACCACUGCAGGGAAAGAGAGGAAGAGCACUUGUUUAUUAAAAAGAGACAGCAGGGACAAGGACAUGAAAGGAGGCUUUGUCUCCUCAGCUAUUACCUUACUCCAUUUGUCGCUAUGUUAAUGCCUUGUCUUCAGAUGUGCAGGGGAAUCUCAGGCACAAAUCUCCCAGCUCCAUAAAAAAUCAGGCAAAGAGGAACCCCCUGCUCCUGGGCCCUGCAUGUCAUGGAAGCCCCGUGCCACCUGCAGAUGCCUCCAAAUGACUGGUGUCAUGUUGGGGGGGGCGGGUGUGCAUCUGUGAACGCUUGGGGGUUUGGCGAGGGGCUGGCUUCAUGGCAGAGAUGGAGGCAACACGAUCUGGCUUCAUCCCCGGGGACCCCCCAGGCCCUGCAGGAGCUGGAAACGCGG